CUCAAAAUUCACUCGCUCUCAAAAAAUUGCUCGCUCGAAAUUCACUCGCUCCCAAGUGAAUUUCGAGCGAGCGAUUUUUCGGGAGCGAGUGAAUUUUUG
rnacentral:pre_miRNA from 1 species